UACGUAGGUGGCAAGCGUUUGUCCGGAAUUAUUGGGCGUAAAGCGCGCGCAGGUGGUUUCUUAAGUCUGAUGUGAAAGCCCACGGCUCAACCGUGGAGGGUCAUUGGAAACUGGGGAACUUGAGUGCAGGAGAGAAGAGUGGAAUUCCACGUGUAGCGGUGAAAUGCGUAGAGAUGUGGAGGAACACCAGUGGCGAAGGCGACUCUUUGGCCUGUAACUGACACUGAGGCGCGAAAGCGUUGGGGAGCAAACAGG
rnacentral:rRNA from 1 species